rnacentral:rRNA from 1 species
GGCGGCGUGCCUAAUACAUGCAAGUCGAGCGAAUGGAUUAAGAGCUUGCUCUUAUGAAGUUAGCGGCGGACGGGUGAGUAACACGUGGGUAACCUGCCCAUAAGACUGGGAUAACUCCGGGAAACCGGGGCUAAUACCGGAUAACAUUUUGAACCGCAUGGUUCGAAAUUGAAAGGCGGCUUCGGCUGUCACUUAUGGAUGGACCCGCGUCGCAUUAGCUAGUUGGUGAGGUAACGGCUCACCAAGGCAACGAUGCGUAGCCGACCUGAGAGGGUGAUCGGCCACACUGGGACUGAGACACGGCCCAGACUCCUACGGGAGGCAGCAGUAGGGAAUCUUCCGCAAUGGACGAAAGUCUGACGGAGCAACGCCGCGUGAGUGAUGAAGGCUUUCGGGUCGUAAAACUCUGUUGUUAGGGAAGAACAAGUGCUAGUUGAAUAAGCUGGCACCUUGACGGUACCUAACCAGAAAGCCACGGCUAACUACGUGCCAGCAGCCGCGGUAAUACGUAGGUGGCAAGCGUUAUCCGGAAUUAUUGGGCGUAAAGCGCGCGCAGGUGGUUUCUUAAGUCUGAUGUUAAAGCCCCACGGCUCAACCGUGGAAGGGUCAUUGGAAACUGGGGAGACUU